AGCAGGAGCUUCCCCAUCCUGUGCAGCUGGGAUUUAUUUCUGCUCCUCACGCUGCCUGUGUUUUGGUUUUAGCUCUGGCUCAGGGAAUGCUUGGCUGCAGGAGGCUCUGCUGUGCUCUUGGCAGGGUACAGACAGAUCUAACCCGCUCAGUGCACCAGCACGGUGGGGAGCAAAUACUCCCGAAAAAACUCUGCCGGGCUGGUGCUGGGCAGGAGGAUUGGACUGGCAGGGUGUCUGUCCCCAAGCAGGGACGGGGCUGCUGGGGCUGGCAGGGUGUCCCCAAGCAGGGACAGGGUUGUGGCAGCCUGGGCAGGAGGACUGGGGCUGGCACAGGGUGUCUGUCCCCAAGCAGGGACAGGGCUGCUGGGGCUGGCAGGGUGUCCCCAAGCAGGGACAGGGCUGUGGCAGCCCGGGCAGGAGGAUUGGGGCUGGCAGGGUGUCCCCAAGCAGGGACAGGGCUGUGGCAGCCCGGGCAGGAGGAUUGGGGCUGGCAGGGUGUCCCCAAGCAGGGACAGGGCUGUGGCAGCCCGGGCAGGAGGAUUGGGGCUGGCAGGGUGUCCCCAAGCAGGGACAGGGCUGUGGCAGCCCGGGCAGGAGGAUUGGGGCUGGCAGGGUGUCCCCAAGCAGGGACAGGGCUGUGGCAGCCCGGGCAGGAGGAUUGGGGCUGGCAGGGUGUCCCCAAGCAGGGACAGGGCUGUGGCAGCCCGGGCAGGAGGAUUGGGGCUGGCAGGGUGUCCCCAAGCAGGGACAGGGUUGCUGGUGCUGGCAGGGUGUCUGUCCCCAAGCAGGGACAGGGCUGUGGCAGCCCGGGCAGGAGGAUUGGGGCUGGCAGGGUGUCCCCAAGCAGGGACAGGGUUGCUGGUGCUGGCAGGGUGUCUGUCCCCAAGCAGGGACAGGGCUGUGGCAGCCCGGGCAGGAGGAUUGGGGCUGGCAGGGUGUCCCCAAGCAGGGACAGGGUUGCUGGUGCUGGCAGGGUGUCUGUCCCCAAGCAGGGACAGGGCUGUGGCAGCCCGGGCAGGAGGAUUGGGGCUGGCAGGGUGUCCCCAAGCAGGGACAGGGUUGCUGGUGCUGGCAGGGUGUCUGUCCCCAAGCAGGGACAGGGCUGUGGCAGCCCGGGCAGGAGGAUUGGGGCUGGCAGGGUGUCCCCAAGCAGGGACAGGGUUGCUGGUGCUGGCAGGGUGUCUGUCCCCAAGCAGGGACAGGGCUGUGGCAGCCCGGGCAGGGCUCUGCCAUCCCCCAGCGCUGUCCCCCGGCCUCUCGCCCCCUGUCCCCUGCCUGACAACAUCAGAGGGCGCUCCUGCCAUCUCCGCUGGUUCCACCGCUGCCUCUGGGCGCUGGGAUGUGCCGGCACACGGUGCGAGUUCUCUGCGGGAGCUCUGCCAUCCUCACCCAGCGCCCCCUCCCACCCCCUGUGUCCCGGGCAUCGCUUUGUCUCGCCUUUGGGGACAGCGAAUGCGUAUCAAGGCUCCGGGCUGGGAUUUCCCCAGCGCUUUGGGGGCUGUGUGUUUAAAUGUGUUUAAAUCCCCCCGCAGCCCCGGGCUGGCGGGGACAGGAGCGCAG
ensembl:lncRNA